UACAGAGGGUGCAAGCGUUGUUCGGAAUUAUUGGCGUAAAGGGCGCGUAGGCGGUUCGGCAAGUCUCUAGUGAAAUCUCUGGGCUCAACUCAGAGUCUGCUGGGGAAACUGCCGGGCUUGAGUGUGGGAGAGGAGAGUGGAAUUCCCGGUGUAGCGGUGAAAUGCGUAGAUAUCACUUGGAACGCCGACGGUGAAACAGCUCGCUGGGCGUGUUCUGACGCUGAGGCGCGAAAGCCAGGGAGCGAACGGG
rnacentral:rRNA from 1 species